CUUUAGGGCAGCUGUAGCCUCUUUGGUGAAGAAAUGUUUGUUUAUUUGUUUGUUUGGUGUGGCUGCUGGUAGUUGGAUGGAAAAUAGAGUGCCCUCAGUAAUGAACACCACACCUUCUGAGGAGCCUGCACAACAGUGCCCCAUUUCCAGGACUUUGGCAGCCUCCUGACAUACACACCAGGUGUGCAUGCACCUCAGGGCUAGGGUCACACUCUGAAGAUGCUUGUCCCUUGCCCACUUCACAGAGGAUGCCACACGAGCAUUUUUUCUUCUCCGCCCGCAUUGUCUACCCUCAGUCUCCUCUGGAUUCCAGACUUCAUAUCUUGGACUAGGCUUCAUAAGGGGGUCUUGUGACAUCACUGUCUCCUGAACCAUCAACUCCUUCUACUUCAAUCACUGCAGAGGCUGAACAAUUGCACGUGGAAAUGGGACCAUGAGAUUUCAUCUCCUCGAGUCCUUGGUUCCUCCUGGCUUCUAAAGUUGUCAACGGGGCUGGAUGACAAAGAGAGGUCUGUGCCAUGAGUUCUCGAGACUGGGAAGUCCAAAUCAAGGCAUCUGCCAAUUCAGUGUUGCAUGAGGGCUUGCUCUGCUCCAGAGAUGGUGCCUGUGGCUGGGUCCUUACAUGGAGGAAGGGGCUGAAAAGACUACAGAGCUCCCAUCAAGUUCCUUUCUAAAAGAACUAAUCCCACUCAUAAGAGCAGAGUGCUCCUGACUUGAUCACUUCCCAAAAGGCCCCACCUCUUAAUACUAUCAUAUCACAUUGGCUCUUAGGAGCCAAUGUAUGAUUUUGGGAGCAUACAUGCAUUCAGACUAUAGCAUAAUCACCAAUGGCUAAUGAUUUAACCAAUCAUGCCUGCAUCAUAAAGUCUCCAUAAAAAGCCCAAAAGGAUGGCAUAUUACUUCCUUCUCCUGCUGUUAAUAAAGACACACCCCAGAUUGGGUAAUUUAUAAAGGGAAGAGGUUUAAUUGACUCAUAGUUCCACAGGGCUGGAGAAGCCUCAUGAAACUUACAAUCAUGGUGGAAAGGGAAGCAAACACGUCCUUCUUCACAUGAUGGCAGGAAGAAGUGCAGAGCAAAGGAGGGGAAAGCCCCUUAUAAAACCAUCAGAUGUCGUGAGAACUCACUCACUAUCACAAGAACAGGAUGGGGAAAACUGCCCGCAUGAUUCACUUAUCUCCACCUUGUCCCUCCCACAACACAUGGGAUUAUCGGAACUACAAUUCAAGAUGAGAUUUGUGUGGGGAAACAGCCAAACCAUAUCAGAUGGGGCUCAGGGAGCAUCCAGAUAUCUGAACACACGGAGCUUCCUCGAGGAUGAUGGACCCAGAAAGGGCAUGGAAGCUCUGCAUGUACCCUUACAUCCCUUGCCCUGUGAAUCCCUUCUAUCUGCCCAUUCAUCUGUAUCCUUUGUAAUAUCCUUCCUAAUAAAUGGGUAAAGUGUUUCAC
rnacentral:lncRNA from 1 species